AUCAUUCAGAAAAUAAAGAAGAAAACCGCUUUCACAUGUCAGCGUGUCGUUGAAAUGAAGAGAUUAUGGAUUCUGAAGACCAUAAUAAUAAGGACAAUGCAAGACAAAGGCUGUCAAAUAACUGAGUGUUUGUCUUGAUGGCAAUAUGCACUGUAUGUUAUUCUGGGACAGAAGUUUGACUCCACUGAACUAAACAUGAAGAACAUAGGAAAAUGGUGGUGUGCCAUCUUGCUUGAAAAUUAAAAGAAGAAGAAUGCUCUGCACUCCCUGAAACCUACGGGAAGAAAAAAACUGAACUUGCAUAUGAAACAGACCAAACCCCAGUUGUGCCCUCUGUUUUUAGCAAGGAUGAGCUGUUAAAAGAUGAUGACCCUCCAUCAUGCUUUAUCUUCAAGGUGUUACAUGCUGGAAAACAGACAUCUCACUACAAACAGCUCUUCUGGAAGAUGUACUCAAUCUCCACUUGUUUGGAGUUUGAGUACAAAUGCUGCACACCUGGUACUUUUUGUGUAAAUUGGUGAUGAAUAAACUAGUUCUUAGUCUAAAGGAAAACUAAAAAUCUAAUUUACUUAUGUCAUCCCUUGGAGUUUAAAAGUUCUGGACACCAUUCAAUUGACCUACAGAGCUGAGAAAUUAUUCCUAAUGUUUGUAAAUGUUCACUGUCAACCAUAAACCCUAGUUGUUAUUUUGCUUCUUGUAUCCACCAGGUUAUGGUGGGAAGGGAAAGCGAGGUGAGCUCCAGGGCAUUUAUUCAAAAACCUUCCACCCUGUAUUUUGCAGAUUUGACUGCAUGCAGAUCAGUUCUAAUGAGCUGAUAUAGUUUCCUUACAAAGACUAAAAAUAAUAAAAUAAAAUAAACACUUUU